CGAAACCUCCCUCCAGCUCUCCCCCGCCCCGCCGCCACCGCCGUCGCUGCCCUCGCCCGGCUUCCCGUCCCCCACCGCCUUCCUCAACCUGCUCUCACCGCGGUCACCGUACCCGCUCCUGUCGCCGGGGUUCCAGCACCCUCCGCCGCUCUCCCCUAACUUUUCCUUCUCUCCGAUGAUGUCGUCCCAGCAGGGGAUCCUCGGACCGGGCCCGCUGUCCCCGGGACUCCGUUAUCCGCUGUCGCCGUCCGGGUUCCUCUCGAGCCCACGGUGGAGGGAUAUGUGAAG
rnacentral:misc_RNA from 1 species